GAUUCCGUGACGCAGCUAACGCAUUAAGUUCCCCGCCUGGGGAGUACGGCCCAAGGCUAAAACUCAAAGGAAUUGACGGGGACCCGCACAAGCGGCGGAGCAUCGGAUUAAUUGAUGCAACGCGAAGAACCUUACCAAGGCUUGACAUACACCAGAACACCGUAGAAAUACGGGACUCUUUGGACACUGGUGAACAGGUGGUGCAUGGUUGUCGUCAGCUCGUGUCGUGAGAUGUUGGGUUAAGUCCGCAACGAGCGCAACCCUCGUUCUAUGUUGCCAGCACGUUAUGGUGGGAACUCAUGGGAUACUGCCGGGGUCAACUCGGAGGAAGGUGGGGAUGACGUCAAAUCAUCAUGCCCCUUAUGUCUUGGGCUUCACGCAUGCUACAAUGGCCGGUACAAAGGGCUGCAAUACCGUGAGGUGGAGCGAAUCCCAAAAAGCCGGUCCCAGUUCGGAUUGAGGUCUGAACUCGACCUCAUGAAGUGAUCCCCAAAAUGAGA
rnacentral:rRNA from 1 species